AACGAACGCUGGCGGCAUGCCUAACACAUGCAAGUCGAACGGAUAGUCGCAAGACUACUAGUGGCGGACGGGUGCGUAACGCGUGGGAACCUGCCUUGAAGUUCGGAAUAACUGCGGGAAACUGCAGCUAAUACCGGAUGUGGCCUGCGGGCCAAAGGGGAAACUCGCUUCAAGAGGGGCCCGCGUCCGAUUAGCUAGUUGGCGGGGUAACGGCCCACCAAGGCGAUGAUCGGUAGCNGGUCUGAGAGGACGACCAGCCACACUGGAACUGAGAUACGGUCCAGACUCCUACGGGAGGCAGCAGUGGGGAAGUA
rnacentral:rRNA from 1 species